UCCGGACAGGGUAACACAAACAAGUCGAGCGGUAAACGUUGCUUCGGUAACUGAGCUAGCGGCGGACGGGUGAGUAAUGCUUAUGAAUCUGCCUAUUAGUGGGGGACAACAUUCCGAAAGGGAUGCUAAUACCGCAUACUUCCUACGGGAGAAAGCAGGGGAUCUUUAUAACCUUGCGUUAAUAAAUGACCCUAAGUCGGAUUACCUGGUUGGUGGGGAAAAGGCCAACCAAGGCCACAAUCUGUAGCGGAUCUGAAAGGAUGAUCCGCCACACUGGGACUGAAACACGGCCCAAACUCCUACGGGAGGCACCAGGGGG
rnacentral:rRNA from 1 species